rnacentral:rRNA from 1 species
UAAAGGCCGCAGAAUAUUAACUGUGCUAAGGUAGCAUAAUCAUUUGUCUCCUAAUUAGAGACUAGUAUGAACGGCUAAACGAAAUUUAACUGUCUUCUUUUAUACUAAAUAAAAUUUAAUCUUAAAGUUAAAAAGCUUUAAUGUAAUAAAAAGACAAAAAGACCCCAUAGAGUUUAAUUUUAAUUGAUUUUAAAAAUAAAAUUAUAAAAUUUAGUUGGGGCAACUAAGAAAAAAUAAAUUUUUCUACUAAAAAAUAAUAUAAUCUAUCAUUAAAUUAAUAACACAAAACAAAUUACCUUGGGGAUAACAGCAUAAAUUUCUUUGAGAGCCCAAAUCGAAA